GACUUUGUCUGAGUUGAGGGGGAAUAUCCAGAAUAUUUUUCUCUCUAGAUUGUUGUUAUAGUAUAUGUGCUAUGUCUAAUACAAUCAAAGACAAUAUAGGCAUCCACAACAGUCCACUCUCUAUAUUGGUGCCCUUCCACCUUGUAUCACCUCUAAUUCCAAUGAUCUAUGUUUGACACCACCAUCCCGACUAAAAAAAGGAUUAUUUUUGAAGUGUCCUCAUCAAAUUAAACUUGUAAUGUGAUUGUUUAUGGCUUAUCAAACACACUUCUCUGAUUGAUAUCUUCCAUCAGAAUCUCAGUAAUACCAUCACUCAAUCUUACCUCAAACAUCUUUCUCUGCCUUAGAUUUCAAUGCUUUAAUUGCCAAUUCAUGACAGAGCUUUAGAUUUGAUCGUUGGAGUUAUGUUAGGAAACUGUUUUGACCUCUGGGUCGCUCGUUUUAUUUUCAGGCCCUUAAGGAAGAUGCUGGGUUUGGGCAUAGUUUGUUAGUAUACAAACUAACAAGUGUUGCAAAUGUCAAUUGUAAUCUGAAUUUCUCUAUGUUCGGUGAGAUUUGUUAUUGAUGUGUGGAUCAAGAAUGCCUAGGAUCUCUAGGUUUAAAGAGCCCCAAUACCCAGGCAAUAUGUGAAAUGAACUUCCACUUGUGUUGCUGGAUGAGUUCGAAAUGUUUGGUUUCUUAUGUCUUCUAACUGUGAUAUAUAUUGAAAAAGGAUGCGUGAAGCAAGGUUGAGAUGGUUCAUGCAUGUGAUGAUGAUGGGCAUGGAUGCCCUAGUACGGAGGUGCGAGAGGUUGGCUAUGGAUGGAUUCAGCCAUUCAAGCGAGGUAGAGGUAGACCGAAGAAAUAUUGGAGGGAGGUACUUAGACAUGACAUGGAGCAGUUAUAGCUUAGUUUAUCGAGGACAUGACUCUAGAUAGGAAGAUGUGGAGGCGCGUUUUAGGGUAGAAGGUUAGUAGGAUGGGGGCUAGUAGUUGUAGCUUUUCACGGGUAGUUUCUUGUUCUUGAAAUUUUUCGGUGUUGUGUGUGGUUUCGGGUAGAUUGUUGGUGGCAUUAUUUGGUGAUAAUCUUGUUUAUGCUAUUGUUUGUUGUUUUG
rnacentral:lncRNA from 1 species